rnacentral:tRNA from 1 species
CCUGGUGGCUUAGAUGGUAAAGCGUCUGCCUACAAUGUGGGAGACUCAGGUUCGAUCCCUGGGUCAGGA